rnacentral:lncRNA from 1 species
AAUGAUAUAAGGUCAAUAUGGAAAGCAUCUCUGCCCAAAAUCAACUUUGGGCAGAUCAAAUAAAAACAAGCUAAAUACAAUUAAACUAAGCCAUGGCCGAAGUCAUGGCUACCCAAACUAAUCUAAUGACUGCAUUGCGAUGAUUGUAAAGUGUACAAAGUGUCAAAGUGUAAGAACUGGGCGAGGUAUACAUAUUACCAAAAAAAAAAAAAAAU